UACGAAGGGGGCUAGCGUUGCUCGGAAUCACUGGGCGUAAAGCGCACGUAGGCGGACUUUUAAGUCAGGGGUGAAAUCCUGGAGCUCAACUCCAGAACUGCCUUUGAUACUGGAAGUCUUGAGUUCGAGAGAGGUGAGUGGAACUGCGAGUGUAGAGGUGAAAUUCGUAGAUAUUCGCAAGAACACCAGUGGCGAAGGCGGACUCACUGGCUCGAUACUGACGCUGAGGUGCGAAAGCGUGGGGAGCAAACAGG
rnacentral:rRNA from 1 species